rnacentral:rRNA from 2 species
GAAAUUAUAUUGGGUUUAUCUUAAUGAGUCUUUAGACAGUGGAACUGAGUAAAGU